ACGCCUGCAUCACUGAGCACAGACUCUCUGGGGCACAGAAAACAUCUCUGGACGAAAAAGAAGAAGAAGAAGAAGAAGAAGGCAUCAUCAUGAAUAAAAUACUGGCAUUGUGCCUUGGGCUACUGAUUAUAACCUUAGCCUUUUCAUCUACUGCGGACGGCUCUACAGAUAAUAGUACAAAUGCAAAUUCAAAAAGUUCCAGUGCUGCAGGAUUGGGUCCGCUGCACACCGUGCUGUGCCUGCUGAUCCCAGCAGCCACCCUGGGCUUCAUCCACAGUAGAUCCUAAACUGAUGGAGAAUGUUUAGAUGACCAAGAGGAGCAAAGACAUGAAGAGCAAACUUUUCCAAAAUUCCUGAAGAUAGAAGACACAACAAGAACAACUCGAUGAGGAGGUGCCACAGCAACUCACAUUAGUUAUUGACUUUUUUUUUUUGUAUAAAAUAUAUGUAUUAAGUACCAAGGGUCCUCCAAACCCCGAAAAAACCACACCAUUAGGCUCUUUGCUAUGUUUUAGUCCUGCUUUCCAUUGAACCCUUCAGUUGCAGCAUCUUGUGAAAGACUACGAAUCUGAUCAUUGUAAUCCACCUUCUCCAAAAUAUUUUUGUUCUUAUUGUGAUGAACUAUUAAUUGUAAUAAUUAAAAAUGUCUCUAUAUGCAAAAUUAAAGUGGAUGAUUUUA